rnacentral:SRP_RNA from 1 species
GCUGGGCAUGGUGGCUUGUGCCUGUAAUCCCAGCUUCUGGGGAGGCUGAGACCAGUGAAUCCCUUGAGCUCAGGAGUUCUAGGCUGUAGUGUGCUAUGUUGAGUGGGCAUCCACACUAAGUUCGGCAUCAAUAUGGUGAUCCUGAGGGAGCUUCGGGUCACCAGGUUGCCUAAGGAGGGGUGAACCGGCCCAGGUUGGAAACAGAGCAGGUCAAAGCUCCCGUGCUGAUCAGUAGUGGGAUUGUGCCUGUGAAUAGCCACUGCAGCGUAGCCUGGGCAAGACAGUGAGACAUGGUCUCCU